AAGAAUUUAGUUAAUUAUAAUAUUUAAUUUGCACUUAAAAGGUCCCUUACAGGAUUUCUUA
rnacentral:tRNA from 1 species